GACGGGGGCCCGCACAAGCGGAGGAACAUGUGGUUUAAUUCGAUGAUACGCGAGGAACCUUACCCGGGCUUGAAUUGCUAACGACGGUUACUGGAGACAGUUUCCUUCCUUCGGGACGUUAGUGAAGGUGCUGCAUGGUUGUCGUCAGCUCGUGCCGUAAGGUGUCGGCUCAAGUGCCAUAACGAGCGCAACCCUUGCCGUUAGUUGCCAUCAGGUUAAGCUGGGCACUCUAUCGGGACUGCCAUCGUAAGAUGUGAGGAAGGUGGGGAUGACGUCAAAUCAGCACGGCCCUUAUGUCCGGGGCUACACACGUGUUACAAUGGGGGGUACAGAGGGAAGCCACCUGGCGACAGGGCGCGGAUCCCGAAAUCCCUUCUCAGUUCGGAUCGGAGUCUGGAACCCGACUCCGUGAAGCUGGAUUCGCUAGUAAUCGCGCAUCAGCCAUGGCGCGGUGAAUACGUUCCCGGGCCUUGUACACACCGCCCGUCAAGCCAUGAAAGCCGGGGGCGCCUGAAGUCCGUAACCGCGAGGAUCGGCCUAGGGCGAACCUGGUAAUUGGGGCUAAGUCGUAACAAGGUAGGCGUACCGGAA
rnacentral:rRNA from 1 species